rnacentral:SRP_RNA from 16 species
CGUUCAGCUGCUUGUUGACCCCAUGUUCCUGAUCGUGUGUUCCAGGCGUCAGCGUGACACCCACUUUGAAGCGGGUAGGGACGGACCGGAGGACCUUCAGCCUGAUGGACAGGCCGAUGAGGGUGGACAUGGAGCAGUGAGGAAUUGUCGGGGUGAAC